AGAGUUUGAUCAUGGCUCAGGACGAACGCUGGCGGCGUGCUUAACACAUGCAAGUCGAACGAUGAACCACUUCGGUGGGGAUUAGUGGCGAACGGGUGAGUAACACGUGGGCAAUCUGCCCUGCACUCUGGGACAAGCCCUGGAAACGGGGUCUAAUACCGGAUACUGAUCGCCUUGGGCAUCCUUGGUGAUCGAAAGCUCCGGCGGUGCAGGAUGAGCCCGCGGCCUAUCAGCUUGUUGGUGAGGUAAUGGCUCACCAAGGCGACGACGGGUAGCCGGCCUGAGAGGGCGACCGGCCACACUGGGACUGAGACACGGCCCAGACUCCUACGGGAGGCAGCAGUGGGGAAUAUUGCACAAUGGGCGAAAGCCUGAUGCAGCGACGCCGCGUGAGGGAUGACGGCCUUCGGGUUGUAAACCUCUUUCAGCAGGGAAGAAGCGAAAGUGACGGUACCUGCAGAAGGAGCGCCGGCUAACUACGUGCCAGCAGCCGCGGUAAUACGUAGGGCGCGAGCGUUGUCCGGAAUUAUUGGGCGUAAAGAGCUCGUAGGCGGCUUGUCGCGUCGGUUGUGAAAGCCCGGGGCUUAACCUCGGGUCUGCAGUCGAUACGGGCAGGCUAGAGUUCGGUAGGGGAGAUCGGAAUUCCUGGUGUAGCGGUGAAAUGCGCAGAUAUCAGGAGGAACACCGGUGGCGAAGGCGGAUCUCUGGGCCGAUACUGACGCUGAGGAGCGAAAGCGUGGGGAGCGAACAGGAUUAGAUACCCUGGUAGUCCACGCCGU
rnacentral:rRNA from 1 species